GAUUAAUAAGGGCAAAUUCAGUGAAAGCUGAAGACGCAAAAUCACGGGCCUAAUGUCUUAAGACGAUGGCAGCCGGAUUACCGAC
rnacentral:ncRNA from 1 species